rnacentral:rRNA from 1 species
UACGUAGGGGGCAAGCGUUGUCCGGAUUUAUUGGGCGUAAAGAGCGUGUAGGCGGUCAGGUAGGUCGGUUGUGAAAACUGGAGGCUCAACCUUCAGAGGUCGACCGAAACCCCCUGGCUAGAGUCCGGGAGAGGAGAGUGGAAUUCCUGGUGUAACGGUGAAAUGCGCAGAUAUCAGGAAGAACACCCGUGGCGAAAGCGGCUCUCUGGAACGGUACUGACGCUGAGACGCGAAAGCGUGGGGAGCGAACAGG